CACGUAGGGGGCAAGCGUUGUUCGGAAUUACUGGGCGUAAAGGGCUCGUAGGCGGCCAACUAAGUCAGACGUGAAAUCCCUCGGCUUAACCGGGGAACUGCCUCUGAUACUGGAUGGCUUGAGAUUGGGAGAGGGAUGCGGAAUUCCAGGUGUAGCGGUGAAAUGCGUAGAUAUCUGGAGGAACACCGGUGGCGAAGGCGGCAUCCUGGACCAACACUGACGCUGAGGAGCGAAAGCCAGGGGAGCAAACGGG
rnacentral:rRNA from 1 species